rnacentral:rRNA from 1 species
UACGGGGGGAGCAAGCGUUGUUCGGAUUUACUGGGCGUAAAGGGCGCGUAGGCGGUCGUGACAAGUCACUUGUGAAAUCUCCGAGCUUAACUCGGAAAGGUCAACUGAUACUGCUCGACUAGAGUGCGGAAGGGGCAACUGGAAUUCUUGGUGUAGCGGUGAAAUGCGUAGAUAUCAAGAGGAACACCUGCGGCGAAGGCGGGUUGCUGGGCCGACACUGACGCUGAUGCGCGAAAGCUAGGGGAGCGAACGGG